rnacentral:rRNA from 1 species
UACGAAGGGGGCUAGCGUUGUUCGGAAUUACUGGGCGUAAAGCGCACGUAGGCUGAUACUUAAGUCAGGGGUGAAAUCCCGGGGCUCAACCCCGGAACUGCCUUUGAUACUGGGUAUCUCGAGUCCGGAAGAGGUGAGUGGAAUUCCGAGUGUAGAGGUGAAAUUCGUAGAUAUUCGGAGGAACACCAGUGGCGAAGGCGGCUCACUGGUCCGGUACUGACGCUGAGGUGCGAAAGCGUGGGGAGCAAACAGG